GAUGAACGCUAGCUACAGGCUUAACACAUGCAAGUCGAGGGGAAACGACAUUGGAAGCUUGCUUCCUUUGGGCGUCGACCGGCGCACGGGUGAGUAACGCGUAUCCAACCUUCCCGCAACUCCGGAAUAGUCCCCCGAAAGGGGGGUUAACGCCGGAUGCUGCAAUUUUUCCGCAUGGUGGAAUUGCGAAAUGAAAAGGUUGGGGCUGGGGAUGCGUCCCAUUAGGUAGUAGGCGGGGUAACGGCCCACCUAGCCGACGAUGGGUAGGGGUUCUGAGAGGAAGGUCCCCCACAUUGGAACUGAGACACGGUCCAAAACUCCUAAGGGAGGCAGCAGUGAGGAAUAUUGGUCAAUGGGCGAGAGCCUGAACCAGCCAAGUAGCGUGUGGGACGAAUGCCCUAUGGGUUGUAAACCACUUUUUGCAGGAGGGUAAAAUGCUUCACGUGUGGAGUAUUGCAAGUAUCCUGCGAAUAAGGACCGGCUAAAUUCCGUGCCAGCAGCCG
rnacentral:rRNA from 1 species